rnacentral:rRNA from 1 species
CAGCAGCCGCGGUAAUACAGAGAGUGCGAGCGUUAAUCGGAUUUACUGGGCGUAAAGCGUGCGUAGGCGGCUUCUUAAGUCGGAUGUGAAAUCCCUGAGCUUAACUUAGGAAUUGCAUUCGAUACUGGGAAGCUAGAGUAUGGGAGAGGAUGGUAGAAUUCCAGGUGUAGCGGUGAAAUGCGUAGAGAUCUGGGGGAAUACCGAUGGCGAAGGCAGCCAUCUGGCCUAAUACUGACGCUGAGGUACGAAAGCAUGGGGAGCAAACAGGAUUAGAUACCCGCGUAGUCCCUGUCUCUUAUAC